rnacentral:lncRNA from 1 species
GGUAGGAUAGGGCAAACCCUUUCCAUUAAAAGUAUAAUGAAGUAUAAGGUAACUAAAUGUUUUUACAAAAUUCCCAAUCAUAGUUACUUUAGGCAAAAAUGAAUUGAUGCAAUUCCAUGAAAUACCUAUAAAAUGGCCAAUUAAAGGGUGUCCACUCUCACCCACCGCUUCCUUGAUUGGCGGAGGGCGUUAGCCGAACGGGUAGGAUAGGGCAAACCCUUUCCAUUAAAAGUAUAAUGAAGUAUAAGGUAACUAAAUGUUUUUACAAAAUUCCCAAUCAUAGUUACUUUAGGCAAAAAUGAAUUGAUGCAAUUCCAUGAAAUAACACUUUGUGCCCUUGCGAAGACGUUAGUGGAGCGUGUGUGGUUAACCGGCACACUAAAUGGUUCUAAGCAANGUAGCAAAGGGUGACUCAAUGUUUGUCAUAGUUCGGUGGAGCGUGUGUGGUUUACCGGCACAUCGAAUAGGUGACUGUAACAUGUGAGGGCACCAUGUAAGUUUACAUGGUUAUUCACACCCGCUUUGUGAUCCUUGGCAUCCCAGUCACAAACAAGAGGGGCAUAUCGAGAUUUAAACAUGCCAUUGAAAUGUUCAAUGAAUCUCAAAAGAUCUAGGAAUUUUCAAUAAAUUUAAAACUUAUAUUUCUUUUUCAUUUUUCAUGGUGGAAAUUAGUGAAUCGUCAUUCACUUACCUUCAAAUGUUCUACAAUUUGGGUUACGACAUCCCUCUCCCAAGUUGUAGAGUAUUGUGUUGGAUCCUAGCCUCGAUGUUUCAUUUGGGUGUCACAUCGAGGAUUCUAAUAAACCUAACUUGAAUUUUUCUCCCGUUUUGUAGAUGUCAAAGUACGACAACUAUGGUCUUCCCAAAUCCCGUGCAACAAGCUUUCCAUAUGAAGAUGAUAUUCCAUGU